rnacentral:rRNA from 1 species
CAGCCGCCGCGGUAAAACGGAGGGUGCAAGCGUUAAUCGGAAUUACUGGGCGUAAAGCGUGCGUAGGCGGUUCGUUAAGUCUGUUGUGAAAGCCCCGGGCUCAACCUGGGAAUGGCAAUGGAUACUGGCGAGCUAGAGUGUGUCAGAGGAUGGUGGAAUUCCCGGUGUAGCGGUGAAAUGCGUAGAGAUCGGGAGGAACAUCAGUGGCGAAGGCGGCCAUCUGGGACAACACUGACGCUGAGGCACGAAAGCGUGGGGAGCAAACAGGAUUAGAUACCCCGGUAGUCCCUGUCUCUUAUAC